CAUGCAUGCCUCAGUAUAGGCGAGUGAGCGGCAAAAGCUCAAAUUUGAAAUCCUUCGGGAGUUGUAAUUUGUAGGUUGGGAGACCCCGCGGCUAGUGGCACCAAGUCCCUUGGAACAGGGCGCCUUAGAGGGUGAGAGCCCCGUAGGUACCACAAUACCGUCUUGUGUCUCCUCUCCAAAGAGUCGAGUGGUUUGGGAAUA
rnacentral:rRNA from 1 species